GGCAGCGUGGCCAAGUGGAUAGAGCACAGGCCUGGGAGUCAGAAAACCUGGGGUCUAAUCCCGGCUCUGCCA
rnacentral:tRNA from 1 species